CGAGUGGCGGACGGGUGAGUAAUGCGUAGGAAUCUACCUAGUUGAGUGGGAUAGCCUGGGAAACUUAGGGUAAUACCGCAUAAGUCUUACGGGAGAAAGCAGGGGACUGUUAAAGGCCUUGCGCGAUUAGAUGAGCCUACGUCGGAUUAGCUUGUUGUGGGGUAAAGGCCUACCAAGGCGAUGAUCCGUAGCUGGUCUGAGAGGACGACCAGCCACACUGGGACUGAGACACGGCCCAG
rnacentral:rRNA from 1 species